GAUGAAGAACGCAGUGAAAUGCGAUACGUAAUGUGAAUUGCAGAAUUCAGUGAAUCAUCGAAUCUUUGAACGCAUAUUGCGCUCUCUGGUAUUCCGGAGAGCAUGCUUGUUUGAGUAUCAGUAAACACCUCAACUUCCAUAUCUUUUUUGAAAUGGGAGUUGGACUUGAGUGAUCCCAACGCUUUUCCUCACCGAAAAGUGGCGGGUUACUUGAAAUGCAGGUGCAGCUGGACUUUUCUCUGAGCUAUAAGCAUAUCUAUUUAGUCUGCCUAAAAAACAGAUUAUUACCUUUGCUGCAGCUAACAUAAAGGAGAUUAGUUCUUGUGCUGACUGAUGCAGGAUUCACAAAGACAGGCUUCGGCCGACUUUGAAAACUCGAUCUCAAAUCAAGUAAGACUACCCGCUGAACUUAAGCAUAUCAAUAAGCGGAGGA
rnacentral:misc_RNA from 1 species